rnacentral:rRNA from 1 species
UACGGGGGGGGUAAGCGUUGUUCGGAAUUACUGGGCGUAAAGGGCUCGUAGGCGGCCAACUAAGUCGGACGUGAAAUCCCUCAGCUUAACUGGGGAACUGCGUCCGAUACUGGAUGGCUUGGAUUUGGGAGAGGGAUGCGGAAUUCCAGGUGUAGCGGUGAAAUGCGCAGAUAUCAGGAGGAACACCGGUGGCGAAGGCGGGUCUCUGGGCCGAUACUGACGCUGAGGAGCGAAAGCGUGGGGAGCAAACAGG